rnacentral:tRNA from 1 species
UGCGUAUAGCUCAGUGAUACAGUGCUUGCCUAGCAAGCAAGCACAAGGCCCUAGGUUCAGUUCCCAGCAUUGCAA